rnacentral:lncRNA from 1 species
UGCUAGUCGGCUACCUUGUUUUCAACCAUUUUGCCUUGGUUUACAGUUCUUAAUGGGUUCUCUACGAAGUGAAUAUCCAGAGUGUAGACACCACCGGCAAUACGUGCAAACUCUUUCAGAGAUUCCUCUUGGAACAGUGCUCCCCGGAAGGGAGAGUGACAUCUCGGCGCUCACCUCAUCGAAGGGAAAGAAGCUACCUGUCCUCAUCCUUUGCAGAUCUAACUGUGCCUUUCAUCGAGCCCGGCCAUUUGGUAGACAUCAGCCCCACCGGGAGCCCCCCGCCUGGCUCUGCUCGAGUGCAGAUGAAGAUCCCUGGCCCGACUCCAAGCCCGCUGAGUCAACUGAGGUAUCCAAGUAUCCCACGGGGCAUUGGAUGCCUUCAAAAUGGAAGCAGCCAAGGGACGGUAUCCGAACGAACCUCAUUGGACUGCCGGGACCGUGAAUUGUAUGAGAAAAACAGAGAAAGGAAACCUCCCGUUGGAAACUUGGCCUUCACUUGGAUGUCUUAACCACACCACGAUCCCAGCUAGGCUAGUAAGAAGCUGUUCAGCCACUGGAGGUUUGCGAACAAGCAGCAAGUCUGAGGAAGGAUAUCCAACAAGGCUGGGGUUCCACAGCUGGUGUGUCUAGCCCUCCAACAGGUACCUGCCUGUCACUCUGUCUUCAGGCACCAUUGUUCAAGAGAGAAGGAGCGGGGGGGAUGGUGGACAUAUCAGAAAUCGACACAUAGUUCCACAAAAUGGCGCCUGUGUGCCCGGCGAAACGGAUCAGGCAGUGAGAGUUCGUCCUUGCCUGAUGUACAGGCCAGCCAUCAACAGUCACCCUGUUGUCCUUCAUUUGCCUCCGGGCUUCCCGACCACCUAGUACACUGAAACCAAACUUGUCGCAGCUCUGAUAUAAAACAGAUUCACCCGCCAUGCUUGUACACGGAUUAACUUGUCAGUUUUGCCUGAAUAGGCUUGAUGCCAUGUGCUAGCAAGGCUCCACCUGAGCACGGAGAAAAGUCUCAUUCCCUCCCCACCUUCCCAGGACACUCUCCUUCUCCUGGCUUGCCACCCAAAAUAGCUCCCAGUUGCUAGCUGCCCCCAGAGCAGCUGAAAGAUAAACUUUGCUACCUCGUCUCAAAGGUGGCCAGGAGCUGCCCCCAGGGAGCGGCAGAAACCGGCUCCCGGCGCUGUUGGAGGCCGUGGGUUGGCACGAUGCCUGUGAAAACAGCCGGGAGGGAAGCCACUCCACCUGAGAGCAGCUCCUGCCGAGGGUGACAAGGACUCCCCCGUCCUCUUUAUUUAUUAAGGGAUCAUUUACCUUCCCUGUGCUGAAAGGAUCAGGACGUUAAGGUCUAGAUGGACAUUGAAUGCAACAGAAUUAAGGUGCACAGUUCCUGGUCUCAGAAAGCUCAUGAUCUAACAGAAAAUGAAUCGGAUCAACACCGUUGGCAUGGAUUGUGUGCCUGGUGUGUGCAUGGCCUAGUGGAUAGAGACAGGAGGACCUGGGCCCUAAUUGCAGUUCUGCCACUUGUCUGCUGUGUGACCUUGGACAAGAACUUCACUUCUCUGUGCAUCUGUAAAAUGUGAGCCUCAUGUGGGACAGGAACUGUGUCCAACCUGAUUUGCUGGUAUCCAGCCCAGUGCAUAGUACAGGGCCCAGCAAAUAGUAAGUGCUUAAGAAAUACCACAAUUAUGCUGGAUAUCUCCUGAGUUCAGGGCACUAGGCUAUCCACCUCCUGAAGGCAGAGUACCGUGCCAGGCAGCUCCUAGUUGUAGAGCACUGUUCCAGGCACCUCCUGAGAGCAAAACACUGUGCCAGUUGCUUCCUGGGGACAGGGCAUUGGGCUGGGCACCUCCUGAGGACAGAACAUUGUUCCGAGUGCCUUCUGGGUGAAGAGCUCUGUGCCAGGUGCAUUCUGGGUGGAGAACACUGUACUGGACACCUUCAGGGUGCAGAGAACUGUGCUGGUAUCUCCUGGAUAUAGAGUAUGGUAAUGGGUGCCUUUUGGGUGCUAAGCAUUGAGCUGGGCCCCUUCUGGGUAAAGUUCACUGUGAUGGGCAGAACAAUAUACUCUGAUUAUUGGGUCCUUUCUAAUAAAAAUAAUAAUAAUAAUGUUGGUAUUUGUUAAGCGCUUACUAUGUGCAGAGCACUGGUCUAAGCGCUGGGGUAGAUACAGGGUAAUCAGGUUGUCCCACGUGGGGCUCACAGUCUUAAUCCCCAUUUUACAGAUGAGGUUCACUGAGGCCCAGAGAUGUGACUUACCCACGGUCACACAGCUGACAAGUGGCAGAGCCGGGAGUCGAACCCAUGACCUCUGACUCCCAAGCCCGGGUUCUUUCCACUGAGCCACACUGCUCGGGUGGGGACAUAGAUGCAGAUUCCUGUAAUUGAAUGGGACAAACUAAGCACUUAGUAUAGUGCUUGGCACACGGUAAACACUCAGUAAAUACAAUUGAAUGAAUGAAAGCUUUGACUUGAAAAUGUUUCCUGGUCUGCCUGAAUCCCAAUAUCGCUCGUGCUUUCUAUCUGUCCUCGAUACUCUGGUUACAGCUAAGCACGGAAGGGCUCAGAAUGGUUAGGCCGAGGUCAUGCAGAUAGGGUAUUUUUCUGUGUGCUCUCAGUGGAUCCUAAUUAAAUGCGUGGUGACAGCUGGUGCCAGGAGCUCUGACCCCCCCGUCUUGCUGCCAAGGCUGCCAGGGGGAAGUGUCAGGAAAAGAGGCAGAGCUGUGGAGAGGCAACAUGUUACCUGUCGGUCACAGUUCCCGGGAGAGGCUCAGAAGCAGGCCUGGUGCUUCACAGGUCCAAAACCCUGGCGCUCCAUAGGCGAGGUCCAGUCCCACUGACCUAGGUUGGUAGAUGGAUUUAGGACCAAAAUGGAAAAAUUCCCCUUGGAAAAGGACACUCGGUCCAAUCAUGAUUUGCUAUUAAGAGUCUCACUGUAGUUUCUCCAGAAUGCAGAAAAAUAGAGGAAGGAUUUUACAUACAUGCAAACCCAUGGGUUUGUUAUUUGGGGAAUAUUUUUGUUUGUUUCCUUGCAGAGGGAGAAAGGGAUUCUGACAAAGUCGGGGGAGGCUGCAAGGAGAAGGACAGGGAACAGGUCAUAUCUGCCCAAUCAGAUGGGUGAGGGAAGGAGGAAAGAAAGAGUGGGGGGAAGAACAGAGGAGGUAUAGGAGUAGCAUACAGAGAGAAAUUAAGGUGAGGGUCAGCAGAAGGCAGCCUGCUCUUCUUCCCAGAGGCUCAGCAUUCCCAUCCUGCUCCAUCUGCCACUUGUUUUUGCCCCAGUGUGGAAGGUCAGCAGGGAGAUCGACGAUGAAGGAUUCUUCUGCAGCACUGCCUAAGGAGGCAGACAUGAAUUGGAGCUUGUUCUGGUGAAGAAGGAUUUUGAUGCCAGGUGAAGGCUGCUGCUGUCUGAUCCACAAAAUCUGCUGUGCUGUUAGAGCAGAAGGACAGUUUGUCUGGUGGCUGAGUCAGCACCCUUCAACCCCUUCUUGGGAAGCAUGUUAGUCCCAGCCCAAGACCCCAGAGUCUCCAUUCUGACUCGAUCCACAGCCUCUGUGGCACACCCCACUGGGAUUCUAGGAUGUAAGCACCUGUCCAUGAGGAAAAUUGGAUUGAAACCAGUUUACUGCCCAGUUGGCUGAGACUUGAAGUUAAUUCACCUAUCUGGGUGAUAUUUGGAUCGGAGUCCGCAAGAUUAAAAAUUGUUCAAAAGACACUUCAGUCAUCAGUCAGAGGUUUGUCAGGGAGUCAAGUCAGUCAGUCGGUCACUGAGGAAGCCCCAGCCACCCUUCAGUUUUCCAAGGGGAGACUGUCCACUACGUGACCCAUCUGGGCUCCUCCUGCUUCUUGUUUCCGCCGUGUCUUGUGUGUAGUUGUUUCCCGCUCAGGAUUGCCUCUGUCGAAGGGUGAUUAGUGAAAGGGAAAGAAGAUGAAACUCAUCCAUUUUGCUGCUUGUUGAUGGUUCUAAUAAAAUAUUUGGGGGCAUGGGAGAGAAGAAGGUUGAAACCAUUACGAAAGAUGAAGUUCUUGGAUUUCAGAAUUUUGAUUCUUCAUGGGACCCUUGGUCCCAGUUAACAUGGAAAAUGGAGACUUGGUUAGAAUGUGCUUGUAAAAAUACUCUUUAAAAAUCUGGGUUAUAAUAUAAAUGACCCCUCCUUCCCUUAUAUAGCUGACCAGAACGGCAUCUCGAGCUUGUAAAGUGCCUGCUUUCUGAUGAACUCAAAGAGUUUCGUGAGCAUUUUCCCAAGGAUCCUCCCCAAAUCUCUGGGAAAUAGAUGGAGUGCUUAUUUGUCAUUUUUGUUUUAAGACCGUAGAAACUGAACCCCAGGGAAGUUUAGUCACUUUUCUGAGGUCUCCCAUUUUUGAUGAGUGGAGCUAGAACUGGAAUGCUGGAUCUUCCAACUCCGUUAAUUCUGCGGCUUUGCUUUAUGAAUCCCACGUUAGUAUUCACCCCUCCUACCCACAGCAGAUUUCAUCUGACGAUCUCAACUGCAAUGCCUAGUCUAAUGUUUAGAAAAUGCCUUGUUUGCAAUUAGCUAAGACCCACUUCAAAUUUUCUGAUAAACCUCACAGAUACAGUUAGGUUUCCCAACUGCGACUUGACUCAAUAAACAAACAGCACGAUAAACUAGAGAGGUCAGAAAUCACCUCUGUUGUUGAUUUAAGUAGUUGCUGAGACUCCUAGAGGUGAGGUUUCUGCUGCCUUGAAUACUCUUUUUUAAGUCACAGAAAACUUUCAAACCCAAUCCAUUUAUUGCGGUAAGUAGCAUGAACUAAAGAAGCCUCUUUUGACUAGCAUUCCUUAAUGUGGGCCAGGAUGAGAGUCCAGUAGAACAGAAACCUGGACUAUCUAAACCUGGCCAUUGGCUUGAGAUGCUUAUCAGGAGUUAUUGGAAUCUGGCAUCUUGAGUCUGGUGAUGGGAAAGGACAACCCGGAAGAGACUCUUGUGUUAUGAUUAUUCUAACUGUGGUAUUAAUACAGUGCUCUGCACAAGGUAAGCACUCAAUAAAUACGUUUGAUUGAUUGACCGAUUGUUAAGCCCUUAGUUUGCAUCCACCACUGUUCUAAGCACUGGGGUAGAUACAAGGUAGUCAUGUCACACACAGUCCCUGUCCCAAAUGGGGCUCACAGUCUAAGGGAGAGGGAGAACAAGGAUUGAAUCCCCAUUUUACGGAUGAGUAAAAUGAGGCACGG